rnacentral:rRNA from 1 species
CAGUAGCCGCGGUAACACGAAGGGUGCAAGCGUUAAUCGGAAUUACUGGGCGUAAAGCGUGCGUAGGCGGUUUGUUAAGUCUGUUGUGAAAUCCCCGGGCUCAACCUGGGAAUGGCAAUGGAUACUGGCAAGCUAGAGUGUGUCAGAGGAUGGUGGAAUUCCCGGUGUAGCGGUGAAAUGCGUAGAGAUCGGGAGGAACAUCAGUGGCGAAGGCGGCCAUCUGGGACAACACUGACGCUGAGGCACGAAAGCGUGGGGAGCAAACAGGAUUAGAUACCCCCGUAGUCCCUGUCUCUUAUAC